rnacentral:rRNA from 1 species
UACGAAGGGGGCUAGCGUUGCUCGGAAUCACUGGGCGUAAAGGGCGCGUAGGCGGCCAUUCAAGUCGGGGGUGAAAGCCUGUGGCUCAACCACAGAAUUGCCUUCGAUACUGUUUGGCUUGAGUUUGGUAGAGGUUGGUGGAACUGCGAGUGUAGAGGUGAAAUUCGUAGAUAUUCGGCGGAACACCAGUGGCGAAGGCGACUCACUGGCCCGAGUACUGACGCUGACGGCGCGAAAGCGUGGGGAGCAACAGG